rnacentral:RNase_P_RNA from 1 species
AGAGGGCCGGGUGAUCGCGGUUCCGGGGACGGCCCGUCACGGGACACGCCCGGAAUCGAGGAAAGUCCGGACUCCACAGGGCACGGUGGUUGCUAACGGCAACCCGGGGCGACCCGCGGGCCAGUGCCACAGAAAACAGACCGCCCGGUCAUCAGUGGCCGGGUAAGGGUGAAACGGUGCGGUAAGAGCGCACCAGUGCGUCGGGUGACCGGCGCAGCUAGGUAAACCCCACCAGGAGCAAGGUCAAGUGGCUGCACCGGCAACGGUGUGGCCGUGUCCCGUCGGCGGCCCGUCGGACAAGGGACAGGUAGACCGCGUGAGGCGGCCGGUGACGGUCGACCCAGAUGGAUGAUCACCU